AGGGGUUACAGAGACGUUGAUUUUCAGCCUGUGUGCGCUCUCUGGUAUGUUAGGUUAGAGCUGUGGUGAAGACUCUUCCACACUCGUCGCAUUUAUAAUUCGAGCACUCAUAUAUCAUCCAGAGUGAGAGCUUUGACAGCGGCGACCCUGCACAGGUGGCAUCCAUAUGGUCUUCCUCCAGGGUGAGUUCUCUCAUGUCAUCCAAGGACAGAAAGUUGGAGAUGGUGAACUUCAUAGACCUCCCAGGAGAAAUCCCUUCCCACUGACUUCAUACCAGGAAGAGCAACAAAUUCCCUGGAUAAUGGUUAGUUUUACCUCCUGCACGUUGACUAAACCAUGGCUGAGGAUGCCUCCCUUUUGGCAGAUCAUUCUAGGAAGGUGGGAACCAAAUUUGCAGCAAACUCAUUCAUCUGUGUCAUCGUCUCCAUUGAAGCGUCAUUCCUUUCCCUGGUUAAUUAGUGCCCACCUUUUUUUCUUCCUUCAUCUUAAUUACAAUUCAGUCUGCUUUAUUCUGUUUUUUGGGUGACUACCCAAGUCCCUUAUGGUAGGUAGGUCAAGAGGCAGAGAGAGAGAAUUCUUCCCCCACCCCCAGGCAGACUAAAGACUGAGGAUCUGGUGCAGGAUGUCCCUUCUUCAAUGCCUUGACUGGGGUCAACACAUAUCAAGGUUAGGGCAGUGGACUUGGCCCUCCUGCCCAGGCUCACAGGUCUGUUCCCUCCCCCAGCCCCUGAGGCCUGUGACUACAGCAUCCUCGAAGCUUUAAACAGCUUCUCGGUGCUCAUGGGGACUCAGGGAAAACAGGAUCUGCAGACCAGGAAGCGGGUCCUCACCCGACCCCAGGUCCCCAGCACCUUGACCUUGGACUCCAGCUUCCAACCUUGAGGAACAGACGUCUGGUUUCACGCUCAUCUGCAGUACUUCAGCCAAAGGGACUCAGAAGUUAAUUAAGCAUCUACUCUGCCAGGUGGCUGAGGAGCUUCACAGAUACAAAUGAAGUGCAAAACCCUGUCUUAGAAAACCUUUGACCCUGGUGGGAACAGUACCAGCCACGUGAGUCCAGAGCCGAGUCAGUUCCUGCUUUGGGAGCAGAGUCCUCCGUGUGGGGUGUCCUGCCUGCGAGACCUUGGGCAGCAUCUCCAGCGUCGUCCACCAGAUGGCAGUAGCUUCCCUCUCUCCAACACGACUUUGCCAGAGUCCCCAAGGGCUUGGAGUAACCCCAUCUGUCCAUAUGCUGCAGCUCGAGGUUCCCCAAUAUGCAAGUAGUUCACAGCCUGCAGACACGACCAGAGGACGGCUUUGAAGAGACACUGUCAGCCCAGACGGGGACGUCAGGCCAGCAAAGGAGGCCAGUGUGCUGCUUGUUUGCACGGAAGAUUACAUUUUCAAAUAACAUAUCAUAACGGAUUAAAGCUGAAAAAAUCA